rnacentral:snoRNA from 1 species
GGCAUUUAACGCAUCUUGAAAGACUCUUAAUUAAGUUAAAGCAGAGUAGAAAAAUACAGUUUCAGCCGUUGUAAUCUUAGUGAUUGUUAUAGAAGUGUCAAGCAAUUGCUGUAAGGCCAGCGGUAUAUUAAAAUCUACAAAAAACCUUCAUUAGACUGUUGUUUGUUGUAGAGUAUUUGGCAAACAAUUUAAUUGAGGUUUUAUAUUUCAAAAACAAAAUGAAACUCUUUGCCUUACACUUAAUAAAAAAAAGAGAUGUAAAAUGUUUAGAUAUUGUUUUAAGGCAGAUUGAUGACAUCUUUAGUAAUCUGAGCCU